rnacentral:lncRNA from 1 species
GUUGCUCUUGUGUCGGUUACUUGUUAUUAUUAAAAAAAAAAAAGGAGAAGAGCGUUGACUCUCUACUGGACAAAUCUGACGUGACGAGACGAGAGUAUUUAAAUGCGUUCAUGUGCGUUAAAAAGUUUCGACACUUUUGACUUGACAAGUUGCGUUUAAGGAGAGGAAGAUGCGUAGAUCCGCGAGUGGCUCAAGAGUUUCAGAUCAAUUUUCCCAGGCGAAGCCGUCACACUCACGGUCUAUGAGUCGAUCUCAGAGUGUUAGACUUGUUGAAGAUGCCGAGCUGCAUUUGCCAAGGUACGACCCGAGCUCUCAAUCGGGUAAGAGAGAGGAGAAGUCACGGUCGAGAUCUGCUGAAUACGUCGUCCAUUUCAUCCCUCUUCUUCUUCUCCUCUGUGUUAUAAUCCUCUGGCUCUUCUCUCGUUCAGGUAAACCAUUCGUGCUUGGUUUAAUUGGUUCGAUGUGAUUGAUUCUUUUCUGUCUAAACCAGUCAUGUAUCUCGGUUUUUGUCAGCGGCUGUCUUUUAAGGAGUCGAGGUUGAAGAAGCUAAAGGCUGUUACUUGUUUCCUUUGGGAAAGAACCAACUUUUUACUGCCAGGACUGGCGCCACGCAAAUGUUUUUUUCCUUUCUUUUUUUGAAUUUUGUUUUUUCUUUUCGACAAACCAGCCUUCAUUUAUAUAACAUUAUUUUGUUAUAAAUGUGAAAUUUCACUAUGUAAUACUAUUUCUACGUCAAUACUCAAAUAUUGUAAGACAUACAAACUCAUUUUCAGCGAAUCACUAAUCUAAAGUUUGUAUGUCUUACAAUUUUUUAUUAAUUGAGCAUUUCAUAAAAUUGUUAUAUGGAUUCGUGUUUUAAUUAAAUUAAAUUAAAUCAAAGAGAAUAAAGUUUUUUAUUAUCUUAUG